rnacentral:rRNA from 1 species
UACAGAGACGUCGAGCGUUUGUUCGGAUUCAUUGGGCGUAAAGGGUGCGUAGGCGGUGAGGUAAGUUGGAUGUGAAAUCAUCAGGGCCUAACCCUGAAAGUGCAUCCAAAACUGCCUGGCUUGAGGCCGGGAGGGGGUAGCGGAAUUCCCAGUGUAGCGGUGAAAUGCGUAGAUAUUGGGAGGAACACCAGUGGCGAAGGCGGCUACCUGGACCGGUUCUGACGCUGAUGCGCGAAAGCGUGGGUAGCAAACAGG